CUAGAACUGAAAGGAUGUAAGGUUCAAAACUUAAAUGUCUCAUUGCCAGUUGUUGAAUGCAGAGAGACUCAGGUCACUUUAUCGUGAGUAUUCUGAACACCAGGGUAAACAUAAAAAUCCUAAAAGUUUUCAGGGAUCAAAAAACAAAGAGACAAGUCACAUAAAAAAGACAGGAUCUUCCCACCAGCGUCCGUGGAAGUUGGAAGAUAGUGGAAAAAUGCCUUCAAAAUUCUGAGGAAAUGAUUCCUAAUCUAAAAUUCUAUUCUCAACCAAACUAUCAGCCAAGUAUGAGGAGAGAAUAAAGACAUUUUCAGAAGAUCAAGGUCUUAAAAGUUUACCUCCCAUACACCCUUUUUCAGAAAACUACUAGAGAAUGUGCUCCCCUGCCCCUGAAAUGAAGAAGUAAACCAAGAAAGAGGAAGAUAUGGGAUCCAGGAAACAAGGACUACAACACAGGGGAAAAGUGAAAGCAAUGCCCAGAAUGAUGGUGAACAGAAAUACUAAGAUAACAACAGUCAGCAGCCAUAGAACAGCCAGAUUAGAGCAGAGCAGAGGCCUCGGAAAGGGAUGUCUCUUAGAAUAAUAUGAGACUGAUUAAAUAGCUAAUAUGUGUGACCAUGUUCAGAGGAGAAUUCAUUUUAAGACUGGAAUGAGGAGAUAAUUGGUACAAAAACCAAGGAGGUAAAAAUAUGAGACAACUAUUUACAUCAGGAGAAAUAGAAAGUUCAUGAAAGAGAAUAUAGUAAACGAUGUGACUCAGCUGUGAAUGAUAAUUACAUUGCCAUUAUACUGCAUGUUGAUUUAUCUAUAAAUGGUAAGAUAACUACACAGAGAAGGUGGAAUGAGGGGAAGCUGUGGUAGGGACAGAGCAUGGAGGAGUGCUGUGCAAGAUAGGAAAGUCCUCCUCUGUUAGAGCAGGUAGUGUGGACCUUAAACAAAUAGCCAGUUAUUUCUCCAGCAAAAAUGGGUUUAUUUGGGAUCAGCAAAAAAUUGCAAUUCAGGGUCUGCAACCUUACUGAGCCACUGCAAGUCCCUAGCAACAAGGGAGGAGAAAUUCUUUCUAUAGAGGAAAAGAGGAAAUUGUAAACAAAGAGUCUGUUGGGGGAGACUGGGAAUUCAAAGUAUAGUUUUCAUUGGCUGAACUGUGACCUUUCUCAUUGGCUGAGCUUCUUGCCAGUCAAGAAGAGAAAGUUUUUCUCCUUCCUUUUGAGCUCUGCAAUCAUGGUAGGAUGUGAGAGCUCCCCCUUUUGGCCUCCACACUCCAAUAUAAUGAAGUUUCUGUUUAUCAAUUUCCACGGAAGCCAGUGGUCAAUGAUGCAGGCUGGGCGAGCCGAGGAGUCAAAAGAAAGAUUUCUUGGACUCUCAAGGUCUGGUAGUAGUGCUCUUUUAUUCAGAGAAUAGCAUGGGGACAGGACCCAUGGGCAGUGAAGGGCUACAAGCAUGGGGACAGGACCCAAGGGCAGUGAAGGGCUGGAAGCAUGGGGACAGGACCCAUAGGCAGUGAAGGGCUGGAGGCAUGGGGUCAGGACCCAUGGGCAGUGAAGGGCUGGAAGCAUGGGGACAGGACCCAUGGGCAAUGAAGAGCUGCAGUGGGUUGAGGGUAGGACUAAAUUUAUAAGGCAUAGGUAUGUGAGUUAUUUCUUUACAAGAAAAAGGAAAGAUCACUUUAAAAAAGUUGUUAAAAUGGUAUCAGUGCAGGUGGGGUCUGGUUAUCGAGUGGUCGUAUAACUUUGGGUAUGAAUCGGGUUGAAUCAGGUCGGGACUCCUAUACUUCUGGGAGGAUGACAUAGGUCAGUAUGUAGGCCAGAACACCUUGGGCUUCUCUUCCUGGGGCAGCCUGGAUCCACAUCAGGCAAUGCCCCAGGUUGAAUUCCCCAGAAGCCACCUCUGAGAUGGAGAUCAGCAUGCUAGAAAUUUCCUGGGGGAGUGUUCUUCAGAAGAGAAGGAAAAGAAGGAUUGAGCAGAAGAGGGGCUGUUAUGGGCUCUUAAAGAAGGCCUCAGCCAACACUUCAGGCAGCUCUGAAGCUAGGUAGCUCUUCAAAGUUGUUUGACCCAACAUGAGACCAGAGGCUGGUAAUUUAUGCCCUUUGUAUAUAACUUGUUGAAUGUGGGCCUCCCUGGGAAGAGGCUGUGACCUUGGCAGAGAGAUGUUUCUCUUCAG
rnacentral:lncRNA from 1 species